rnacentral:snoRNA from 1 species
AUCCUAAAUAAGCUGAUAUAAACAAGUGCUUAUUUGAUUCAUAGGAGACCUAAAUCAAAAUUACAAAUGGACAUUCGCUGAGAACGUCUUUCUCUUUUUCCAGGAGGCGUUUACUAAUAACUAUUCCCAUACAUCU